UGUUAAAAUGAUUUAUAUUAGUGUUCUUAAGAAGUGUGUGAAGUUUGUUAAAUUUGGAGUUCAAACGCCCAAGAACGUUCAUGACGUUCGAAAGCUGUGACUUUAGAAUGUACUUGUGUUGUCUUGAUAAGUUUUUUUGAGUUUUAGAUAUUUUUUUGAUUGAAAAUGAUUUGAGGUGACAUACAAAUUAGUUUCAGUGUGUUACAUCCAGUCAGGACCCCACCUAGGACCCAAAAGGGUCCCUAGAUAAUGAGCCCAAGAAUCGGACUUUACUGCGAAGAAUACAACCCAAAUGUCCUAUCAAUAUACUAGACGUAGGCCAUCGAUGCCCCAUUGACUGGGACAAUCCUUCAAUACUUGGUUGGAGAUCUAUCCCUCCCUUGAACAAGCCUCUAAUGCUAUCGACGCCCAUAAGCACAGGUCGUCAACUCAUCGACGCUUAGUAGCUUGGGUUGUCGAUUGGCCAGUUCAAAAAGAUGUGGAACUUGCUGCCAACUUGGGGUAUUUUAUGUAUAUGUGCUAAAGUAUUUUUCAACCCAGGUCAGUAUUUUUGUUUUUUUUAAGUUAUAUUAAUUUAUUUUUGAACCCUAGUCCUAGACAAGACCUUUCACUUCAAAUAUUCAAACACCCUCUCUAAAGAAAACUCUUCCAAAGUCACCAUUGAAGCUAAGACUCUAGGAAAAAAAAAGAGAUGGUUUUGACGUGUUCCUUCACCAAAAUUUUUGGUUUUCCUUCUCUUUUAAGUAUGGAAAACUCUCCCAAAGACACCAUGGAAGCUAAGACUCAAGGAGGGAAAGAAGAGAUAGUUUGGACGUAUUUCUUCCCAACAAUAAGUGUGUUUCCUUAUAUUUCAGCAAGUAUAGAUUGAAGACUUUUUUGAAGAUUCAAAGGCGACUCUUGGGAAAUUCACUCUCUCAGGAAUUGGUAUGUCCUCAUAUAUACAAGGACAUAUUCUAUUGUUUCCUAGCUUUAUUAUUAUGACAUAUUAUGUAUUUGAUUUCAAUGUAAAGGGCCGUGUCUCUAAGAUAUUAUAAGUUGUGUUUUUAUUUGUGCUUUUGACGUAUAGAUUUAUUGAGUAUUUGUUAAAGAUUUCCUUUUUAAUAAAUUAUU